CAUAAAUGCUCACCAGCCCAACCAGCUCAUUCACUCUAGCCAGCACACCACCCAUCUCCAUUUACUCUCCCGAGCUCGCCCCUGCUUGGCCAUCGCCAUUGUUCAAUCUCGUCCGCGCUGCCAUGUCCGCAUCGUCUUCAUCUUCCCUUCCUGUCCCAGCCGAUUGGCUGCUCCCUUUGAUGGCAUGCCCUCUCUGCAGCGACGAGGUCGUGACCGCCUUCGCGAGGACUAGUAACCAGGCUGGUCAUCGUUUCUACAAGUGCAUUCGCUAUGACGCCCUUCAGUGACGUUUCUUUGAGUUCCAGCGCGCGUACUGCAGGAGGAUGACCCACGAGCAGAUCCUUGCUGCGCAGCAUCAAGCGGGAUGGCACCCAGCGGGGCAUGGAUUUGCAGUCCAGCACGGCAACGGGGAUGCCCAGAUUGUUCCCGCUGCCAAACUAUAUGCCUUGCCCAACGAAUCAAAACUAAGUCCCAGCUCAGGUUUAACGACGCUCUUAUCAGGUUGCUCUGCAUACUUGCGGAUUGAAAUUUCUAGUGCGCUCAUCCUCGACGGGCAAGCCACCCGGUCAGGUGGUGCACUUCCAAGCCGGAGCCUGCAUAUUAAGAAGCAAAACGGGGGAAUGUAGUUAAUUUCUGCAAUUUUUUUCAGAAUCCAGCGAAAUGAUUUUUCUGUCUUUUUUCGUUUUCAUAUUUUUAGAUUUGGAUUUUGUUCUUAGUUCUAUAGCAUACAAAUAAACAAUGGACACCGGGGAUGUUUUCCCAACCCCACCCCAGAGACGAUGGCCCCUGUGAUGCUUGCUAAUAUCUAUAUUCAUUUUUCAUGUUUCUUUUUAGUUUCUGUCUCAGUUCAAUAAUUUUUGGAAACAGAAAACAGUCUUGGUCAUUUUAAUCUACAUCUGAAGGCAAGUGCAGUACCACGAUAUUGGGCCUGACUUUUUAAUUCAUUUCCCCAGAAACCAUUCGACCUGACAGCAGACGUACUUCUGAAUCACUUUUUGCAUUGAGACAUGUAUGUAUGGUACGCAUUUAACAGUAAUUUUGCAGUGCAAGGUGCAAACAGCAGAGAGGAGUUUUCACCUUUUUGUCCAACCGGGGGCUUGUGGAUUCACUCUGCCUGUUGAUUGAGCAGACCUCGUUGGAGAUUCAGCUCGUAAAGCAUGGCCACCUUGUUGCGUUGCCGCUGCUGCUCCUACAUCCUCCAUUUGAGUCAGCUCAGUGACGCCAUCGACCUCACCCACAUCCUCAGUCGCACUCCCCUUCUCCAGCAGAAAAAGUAGUGGAACUGGAUCUGGGUUGUAAGGCUGUCCGCAAAUUCCUCACGCACGGGGAACCUACAAUACGAACGGCGAGUCGCCGGCAAAAGGAUUAGAUAUCUAGGAUCGAACCACGCCGCCGGCGCUUAUGUAGAACAGCAAUUUUUGCACAGAUCUGGCCGGGAA